AACCGAUUGUAUAACUGGCGGAAACGUGGACAACCACGAGGGAGUACAAUCGUUCGAUUCAGCCGACCGCCUGGGCACCCAUA
rnacentral:ncRNA from 1 species